rnacentral:misc_RNA from 1 species
AUACCCUCAAGCCUGGCUUGGUAUUGGGCUCCCGCCCGAGCGGGCGGGGCCUGGAAUGUCUGCGGUGGGCGCUGGUCCCCUCUCUUGCACCAGAAGAAGCAUCUUCACGCAGGAGGGGGCCCCAGCCGCCGUCCGAAAAGCACCAAUC